CCUGUGCGGUGCCAGGAGUUGGACUUGAUGAUCCUUAUGGGUCCCUUCCAACUCGGGAUAUUCUAUGAUUCUAUGAUUUGUUUCUUCUUUCCUUUCCUUUGCUUGUAUUGGUCUUCAAGAUGUAAUGAUAUUGCAUUAAAGUCAUGAUGAGGUUAAAGAGCUCUGACCACUACUGAUUUCUAAGUGCAUCAAUACUUUCGGGAAUAUUUGCCAAUCAGUGAGAAGCCAGGUUUUUUCUCAGUGAAGAUGGUUGCAAGUAAAAUUCUCAGCAGGGUUGGCAGUGAGGGAUUUCUUAAAAGAAUUGCUGCAAGGAAUUUUGUAAAAUUCCAAUCUCAAUUGCUUUGCUGCUAUUUUCUGUAGUGCAAUUAUUUGUUCUGUUUGGUAUCAAAAAUGAUCAUACUUAUUGUGACUUAAGGCUCUGUGUAGUUUCUGAAUUUCCUUAAUUCUCCUUCCUGCUUUCUUUCUAGCAGCAGCAGCAGCUAUGGGUAUACAGAAAACAGACUGGAUCCUUCUCUCAGGAAUGUAUUUGUCUUCCAUUUUAUUCCACUGCAGUGUCUGCUUGGAGGUUUCUCUCAGGACUAGACUGUUUAGUAGCACUUCUGUUUUUAUGGUAUUCAUAUGAUUCAUAAUCCUUCAACGUCUGGUGUGAAGGGAAACCUUAAUCAGCAGAAAAAGAAAUGUUAAUGUUGGUAUCAUUUUAUUGUUUAAUGGUAUGGUAGAUAUCAAUCUGCUUCCAUUUAGGAAAAGAAAAGCAGUGGUUUUGUUGUGAAAACUGCUUUAUGUGAUGUGAUAAGAGCUCAUAUUCCCAUCUGGCAAGAGGGAGCAGAACAUUCAAAUUAUUUUAGCUAGCCCUGUGUUACUAGUGGGAAAGGGAAUGAAACAUUGCUAUGGAAGUAAGUGAAUGCCUUACACUGAAGAUGUCAAAUGUGGAGUUGACAGCCAGGAUCCUCAACUACUGUACACAGUUUUGGACAAUUACUGGUUAAUACAGGGUCUUUAUAGCAUGAGACUGUACUCCAAAGCCAUAAUUGGAGUUGUGUUCUCUCUCAUAGCUGUGUCACAUCUCCUAGCCUCUUUUGCUCAUGCCCACACCUUUGUCCGUUCUUCUGUGUGGCUCCAAAGGUUCAGUAGUUUGGACUGUGGACUCAUGCACUUGAAAAUUCAUUU
rnacentral:lncRNA from 1 species